CCCCCAGGGCUCCAGGUAAGAAUGCUCAGUCAGGAAUGAAGGCAGAAAUAAGCUACUAAAAACUGUAGGAGGUUAAUAUUAACUUCCUUUUCCUUCAUGAAGAAACCCUGUUGUCUGGGAUUAACUGGUGAAACCAGCCGGGCGAGAUGGUUCAUGCCUGGAGUCUCUAGCUACUCGGGAGGCUGAGGCAGGAGGAUCGCCGUGAGUGUGAGGCCAGCCUGCCUACACAGUGAGUUCAAGGUGUCCCCAGGGCAGCAGGCUGAGGACAACCCAGAGGGGCAGCUGCGCUCUCCAAGUAAGUAUAGGGAUUCGAACUCGGCCAGCCAGAGGCCUCAGGCUCCAGGACUCUUCAGAGCAAGAAGCAUCCAGCCCCUCACUCCUCAGUCCUCAGCGCUCUGGGGAAAGAGUCCAGCUGGGGACACCUGGGGCUGGGCGAAGUCCAGGGAGAUUAUUUUACUGUAAAGCAGAUGUAGAGAGCGAGGCCUCCAGCGAGAGGGCAGGGGGGUGCCCAAGACACCCGCCCAGUGCCUGUUUCCACCCUGGGGCUCAGAAACUAGGGCGCACCACUCAGAGACAUUUUCACUUCCUCCUGGAGGUCACUUAGGAAUCAAGGGCUGAGAUGUAGCUCAGUGGGGCCUGCACCUGGCUGGCAAAUCCAAGGACCUGAGUUCAAUUCCCAGUACCAAAAAAAAAAAAAAGAAAUGUUGAGCCCUUAAAAAAAUCUUCCUAAACCAGUCACCCGACUGUAAUCCCAGGACUCAGGAGGUGACCCUCCUGACUCAGCCUCCUGAGUGCACCACCAAGCCUGGCACAAAUCAUGCUGUUGUGGAUCCCCUUUGUCACCCAGGCCCUCUCCUGUCUACUGACCUGCCUGGCACUCUCCUCGAGGCCUCAACUCUGUCUCCAGGUGCCACUGUGCAUAGAGCUCCAUCCCAGAAGCCCAGCCCCCCCCCCAGCCCCCUCCCUGGGCCCAGACAAGGUCCUGACCUGCUGCCCCACCCUCCCGCUCUACCCUGCCCUAGCUAAUUCAUUCUGAAGCACUCUGGGAAGCUGACGCUGAAGGGUCACAGGUUAGAGCUCAACCUGACAAUGUAGUGAUUAGCAAGAUCCUGUUUCAGAAUGAAAAAUAAAAAUAGGGCUGGGGCUGGGUUUGGUGUCCAUGCCUUUAAUCUCAGCACUUGGGAGCCUGAGGCAGGAGGAUCUCUGAGAGCUCAAGGCCAGCCUGACCUUACAUCGAGACCAUGUCUCAAAAAAAAAAGGUCUGGUGACACAGCACAGUAUAAGGGCCCUAGGUUCAAUCCCAGUACCAAAACAACAACAACAACAACAACAACCCUAACAGAACAAAAAACCAUCAGAUACAUACCAGAUAGGUAUGGGAUAAAGUCAACACAGCAAGUCUGCAAUUCUUCUGUCUUUUUUCGUUUUACACUUGUUGAGUGUAUGAUUUCAACUUCUGUGUAUACUUGAGCUCUUUCAUAAUAAAAUACUGAAGAAAAGCCUUCAAAACUGGGUCGCAGUUUCCCCUCCUCUCCUGAAACACCUCCCCACUGCCCCCUCACACUCUGCUGCCUGUCCACUCCCCUGCACCCCUCCCUGGGUGGCACCAGUGACCCAGUUUAGUAUGCACUUGCUCUCAGGCUAGCAGUCUCCCCCGAGCUCUACACCCCAUCCUGGGCAGGGGCCCAGAAGCCGCAGACUGGACCCAGCAGCCAGGGGAGUCCUGGGUACUGGGGCUGUUCCCACAGGGCUGGCCUGGCCCUGAAGUGUUCGAGCAGGGCAGCUGGGCAGCUGGGGACUGGAAACCGGCUGUGGGCAUUCUAGAUACCCAUCUACAUGCACUGUGGCAGGUGCCCAGAAGGAGAGGGCUCUUCCCAUUUUCCCAGGGGAAACAUGGGGCAGAAUUUGCCCAUGGUUGGAGGGCCAGGAAAUUCUAGAAAAAUUCUCUCGAGCUCACUGUGUAACCCAGGCUGGCCUCAAACUCUGACAGCCUCCCGCCUCAGCCUCCUGAGUGCUGGGAUGACAGACAUGUGCCACCACACCUGCUCAGCGUGGGUUUUAGGAUUGAGUCACCACAGACAUGGCAUUUGCCAGUUAGAUGCCAGCAUCAUGGUGACAUCUUACCUGCAUCCCUGUUUCUCGCCUGCAGAGCCCCAGACGACAGCCCCAGGCGGGUGGCGAGGCGGAAAUCCAUCUCCUAUGACCUGGCGGAGGAGGAGCUGAUGGUCAGCAUCGAGCGGGAGUACAGCUGCUGAGGCCGCACGCGGUGGCUGUCCCUGGUCACGUCCUGUCCCCAGCCCGGGCUCGGUGCCGCAGAGCCACCUCCAGACUCGGAUUGGCCUGUGCAGACUCACGCUCCUGCGGCCACUGCUGGAGGGUCUGGGGACAGGCGUGUGGCCCCUCCCAGCCACCCAGGAGCCAGGGACUCUCUCUCUUCUGUGACUGCUGUCCAGGGGCGAGGGCCAUGGCACCUGCACACAGCAGUUUUCACCGAAGCCAGAGUUUCCCGCCAGCACAGCCUCAGGACACAGCCUUCAGCCAGACAUCCCCACCUGGGACCCUUGGCAGUUGCGCGCAGACAGGCGGGGAUGAGCCCCAUGGCAGCAGGGCCAUGCUGCCCUGGGGCCAUCGAACCCAGACCAGAGCCCACAUCCCAACAACCUGCAGAGGACACACACUCCAGGACGUGGAGACAGAAACCACACUGUGGAGAGAAGCCAAUGCAAAGCGGAGCCCUCCGGCCACUGUCUCCCACCGCAACGCCACGGCUGGAGCAGCACUCAGCGUGGAGUGAUACAAAGCCACCCACAUCUGAGCCGGGGUGACACUGGGCAGCCAGUGUCCACACCGAACUGAAAUGAGGGGCAGGGAGGACGCUCUGCAAAGGACAGUCUUCUGAAGGUCUAGGAACAUUCGACUGCAGAACUGCCCUGGGUCUGGAAACCUGGAAACCUAAAACACACACACACACACACACACACACACACACACACACACACGGAUGAAAAGCAGCUGAUAUGAAAGGGCAGCUUAGCGGGCAUCAAGUAACAUACACUGAAUGAGGGCGAGGGUCAUAGACUACAAAGACCUGAAGACAAAACCUACCUUUAGUUAAUUACCCAAUAGUUCACCUGCCCUCAUUAGAACAAAGACUCAGUGCCAAAACUGAAAGGCAAAGGCAGCAUCUAGAUACAUAGUGCACAUAAAAGAUUCUCCAGCUACCAAAACAGUGCAAUGUUCCCAUCUUCUGCUGCAGUGCUGCCUGGACUCCAAGGGAUGGGCUCGCCUACCCCUGCCUGCCUUCCCAAUGAUGCAAGAAGCCCCACCCACAGGACACUGCCUCUCUGCUCAAGACACCUCCCUUCAAACAGGAGGCGACCAAAAGAGCAGACCACAAGCUCCGUAGUCUCACACCUAGUGAAGGAAUCCUCGUGGGAACCCGACUCCCGGAUGCCGUGGUUCCCAGAGCUGAGCUCUACAGCCCACCGCCUCCACACGAGGAGUGCGGCCUCCUUCGGUGCGUGGGCAAACUGCUCCUCCAUGGCUGAAGGACACGGGCACCCCGACACUCACAGGCCACAGGGCCUGGAGCUCCCUGGGAACGACUCCGCGAAGCAAGCGAAGACUCCGCAAAGCAAGCGGCCACGCCAUGGCACGCCACGGCACGCCAUGCCACGCCGCUCUCCCCUUCUCUUCAGGAGGCCCUCCUUCAACCAGUUCUGAUUCCAAACAAGUCUUAGCUCCAAGAGGCCUGGUAACACACGGGAUUUCUUUCUAAAUUGUGUACCACGCUUACUAAAAGCAGGGUCGUUAUAAAACUGUUAUUAAACACUGAAAAGGCUGAAUAUGAUCUAGAAACUGGUGAUUGGAGCACCAAUAUAAAUAUUUUUAUAAAAAACAGUAUAAAAGUAGUACCCUGUCUUAUUUCUACAAAACAUGAGUAGAAAGGUUGUAAAAAUCCAGAUUUUGUAAACUUUACUGCCAAAAUGGUUGUUUGAAUGCUGGUGAUUUAGCUUAUCAAUUUUUCCAUUCCCUUAAACAAAAAGAAACCUGUGAAACUGCAAAAGAUAGAACAGGGUCUCAAACAGAAAGCAGUGAACAGCCCUCCCCAGCGCGGUCCAGGAGGAGCCCGGCUUCCUUGCCGCCGGCCCGCGGGCUCAGGGCAGGGUCAGGGCGAGGCGGGCCCAGGCGCAGGCAUGAGUGGGGCCGGUCGGGCCGGGCUCUCGGCCGCUGCGCUCUCAUGCAGCUUGCCCACCUCUGCCUGCCAGCCCGGGACCUUCUUGGCACUCAUGUGGCGCCGUGCGUGCUUCGUCAGGUGGUCGCUGCGCAUGAAGCGCCCUCGCACACGGGGCACGCGAACUUCUUCUCCCCUGUGUGCGUGCGGCGGUGACGCGACAGUUCAUUCAGAGCGCGGCGAACUUCUUGUCGCAGCCGUCCCAGCUGCAGUUGAAAGGCUUCUCCCC
ensembl:lncRNA